rnacentral:rRNA from 1 species
AGCUGCGGAUUGCAUAUCGAUCAGCGGAGGAAGCUUCCGUAGGCGCGCCGGCGGAUUUUUUGUAAAUGCGCGGAGCGUCAGUACACAAUGUAAUUAUGACAACUUUCAACAACGGAUCUCUUGGUUCUGGCAUCGAUGAAGAACGCAGCGAAAUGCGAUACGUAGUGUGAAUUGCAGAAUUCAGUGAAUCAUCGAAUCUUUGAACGCACAUUGCGCCCUUUGGUAUUCCAAAGGGCAUGCCUGUUCGAGCGUCAUUUGUACCCUCAAGCUUUGCUUGGUGUUGGGCGUCUUUUUGUCUCUCGCGAGACUCGCCUUAAAAUGAUUGGCAGCCGACCUACUGGUUUCGGAGCGCAGCACAAUUCUUGCACUUUGAAUCAGCCCUGGUUGAGCAUCCAUCAAGACCACAUUUUUUUAACUUUUGACCUCGGAUCAGGUAGGGAUACCCGCUGAACUUAAGCAUAUCAUAGCCGGAGGAAGAC